rnacentral:rRNA from 1 species
AACGAACGCUGGCGGUAGGCCUAACACAUGCAAGUCGAGCGAGGACUUCGGUCCUAGCUGCGGACGGGUGUGUAACGCGUGGGAACGUGCCCUUUUCCUCGGAAUAGCCCUUGGAAACUGGGAGUAAUACCGGAUGAGCUCUUUGGGGGAAAGAUUUAUCGUCGAAGUAUCGGCCCGCGAUGGAUUAGGUAGUUGGUGUGGUAAUGGCCUACCAAGCCGACGAUCCAUGGCUGGUUUGAGAGGAUGAGCAGCCACACUUGGACUGAGACACGGCCCAGACUCCUACGGGAGGCAGCGGUGGGGAAUCUUAGACAAUGGGGGAGACCCUGGUCGAGCCAUGCCGCGUGAGCGAUGAAGGUCUUGGGAUUAUAAAGCUCUUUUAGCUGGGAAGAUAAUGACGGUACCCGCAGAAGAAGGCCCGGCUAACUCCGUG